CCGCGUGCAGGAUGACGGCCUUCGGGUUGUAAACUGCUUUCUGAGAGACGAGCAAGGACGGUAUCUCAGGAAGAAGCCCCGGCUAACUACGUGC
rnacentral:rRNA from 1 species